rnacentral:rRNA from 1 species
UACGUAGGGUGCAAGCGUUAAUCGGAAUUACUGGGCGUAAAGCGUGCGCAGGCGGUGAUGUAAGACAGGUGUGAAAUCCCCGGGCUUAACCUGGGAACUGCAUUUGUGACUGCAUCGCUGGAGUGCGGCAGAGGGGGAUGGAAUUCCGCGUGUAGCAGUGAAAUGCGUAGAUAUGCGGAGGAACACCGAUGGCGAAGGCAGUCCCCUGGGCCUGCACUGACGCUCAUGCACGAAAGCGUGGGGAGCAA